UGGGAGGCUAACAAGUUACACUUCACAGCACAGAAGCGCAUCAAAACGAGAAGGCGAUAAUGAUAACCAUCUCUCUCUUCUCUCGUUGCUCUGCUCCUCCAACGGUAGUUGUUUCUCCGGGAUCUCAUCGCUCCGGCAGCGUGUUCCGGCCGGAAUACGGUCUACGUCUUCGAAAAUCUCAAUUUGGCAUUAAAACCCUACGCCUUCACAGCAGCAAUUCCUCCAACGGACAAUCAAAGGAGGAGGAGUACAAGUCGAGCUCGAGCAGGUUCCUGGAUGAGGAAGGCGUGGUGGAAGACAUGGACGGAUACCUCAACUACCUUUCACUCGAGUACGAUUCAGUUUGGGAUACCAAACCUUCCUGGUGUCAACCAUGGACAAUUGCCCUCACUGGAACAUCCAUCAUUGGUGGAAGCUGGCUAAUAUUGCACAACGUCUUAGCCACUUCAGUUGCUUCCACUUUAAUCUGCACCUGGUGGUACAUCUUUCUCUAUUCUUACCCAAAGGCAUAUAAGGAAAUGAUCGCUGAGAGAAGGAAGAAGGUCACUAGUGGUGUUGAAGACACAUUUGGUUUAAGAAACAGUCCUUAAUUUUUUGCUGGAAAAACCAUCAUCAACUGAUGCCAGGCAUGAGUGAGUCGAUUUUGAUGUUUGUUUUCCAGGAUACAACAGUAGAAAACAAUUAUUCUACCCGAAUUCUCACUUAGCCCGGAUUAUACAUUGGUUGCAACAAAAGAUUGGAAGAAAAAACAAAGCGUAAGAGAGAAAAAGGAGAUUGUUUUUGAUUCAUUCGAUGUAAUCUAAGCAGUCAAGGAGAUGCUUUAUUUAUACUGUAAAUCGUAAUUGAUGUCAUUAAACAUCAAAACGUAACAGUCAAUUAAAUGACAUAAUUAAUUGGUAGAUCAAAACCGAAAUCUAUUA